rnacentral:rRNA from 1 species
AUUGAACGCUGGCGGCAUGCCUUACACAUGCAAGUCGAACGGCAGCACGGGAGCAAUCCUGGUGGCGGGUGGCGAACGGGUGAGUAAUAUAUCGGAACGUGCCCAGUAGUGGGGGAUAACUGCUCGAAAGAGCAGCUAAUACCGCAUACGACCUGAGGGUGAAAGCGGGGGAUCGCAAGACCUCGCGCUAUUGGAGCGGCCGAUAUCAGACUAGCUAGUUGGUGGGGUAAAAGCUCACCAAGGCGACGAUCUGUAGCUGGUCUGAGAGGACGACCAGCCACACUGGGACUGAGACACGGCCCAGACCCCUACGGGAGGCAGCAGUGGGGAAUUUUGGACAAUGGACGCAAGCCUGAUCCAGCCAUGCCGCGUGCGGGAAGAAGGCCUUCGGGUUGUAAACCGCUUUUGUCAGGGAAGAAACGGCUCCUACUAAUACUGGGGGCUAAUGACGGUACCUGAAGAAUAAGCACCGGCUAACUACGUGCCAGCAGCCGCCGUAA